UACGAAGGGGGGCUAGCGUUGCUCGGAAUGACUGGGCGUAAAGGGCGCGUAGGCGGAUGGCACAGUCAGAUGUGAAAUUCCCGGGCUUAACCUGGGGGCUGCAUUUGAUACGUGUGAUCUAGAGUGAGGAAGAGGGUCGUGGAAUUCCCAGUGUAGAGGUGAAAAUUCGUAGAUAUUGGGAAGAACACCGGUGGCGAAGGCGGCGACCUGGUCCUUGACUGACGCUGAGGCGCGAAAGCUGGGGAGCAAACAGG
rnacentral:rRNA from 1 species